CCUACGGGGGGCAGCAGUGGGGAAUAUUGCACAAUGGGGGAAACCCUGAUGCAGCGACGCCGCGUGAAGGAAGAAGGUCUUCGGAUCGUAAACUUCUAUCAGCAGGGAAGAAGGAAGUGACGGUACCUGACUAAGAAGCCCCGGCUAACUACGUGCCAGCAGCCGCGGUAAUACGUAGGGGGCAAGCGUUAUCCGGAAUCACUGGGUGUAAAGGGUGCGUAGGCGGUAGGGCAAGUCAGAUGUGAAAGCCCGGAGCUCAACUCCGGGAUUGCAUUUGAAACUGUCUUACUAGAGUGCAGGAUAGGAAAGCGUAAUUCCUAGAGUAGCGGUGAAAUGGGUAGAUAUUAGGAAGAACACCAGGGGCGAAGGCGGCUUUCAGGAGUGUAACUGACGCAGAGGCACGAAAGCGUGGGGAGCGAACAGGAUUAGAUACCCUGGUAGUC
rnacentral:rRNA from 1 species